GUGUUGGCAUGGAAGCACAGACAGUAAAAUAGAAAUGAGAAGUGAAGACUAACAUGGCCCUGUGCAAAGGUGACACCCAAAUUUGUGAAGCAUUCAUACUUUUC